rnacentral:snRNA from 1 species
AGAUGUGAAGGCAAUCUGGCUGUGGCAUCAUUAACCACACUCACUGCCUGGCUUAAUCUGACUGAUUUGGCUGGUUAGGGAGAUGUCUCAUCCUUCCCUCACUGUUUCAUGUGCAUUUCCCAUGAUGCUGUGUGCUCAGUAAAAGAAGACCACAUUCCCCCAACAGAGGAGGACCCUCCCAGGAUCAAGGAGGUCCUAUCUUUUUAAGGGUACAUGAGGGGUAGCAAUCCCCUUCUAGAACCUCCAAACAAACUCUCAGUAAAUAGGUUUUUAAGAUACCUGGUAUGUUGUUCUAGACAUUCAGUAAGGAGUAGUAUUUUGCUAACGCAUAUUUUAAUGAUUC